rnacentral:rRNA from 1 species
CCUACGGGAGGCAGCAGUGGGGAAUAUUGGACAAUGGGCGAAAGCCUGAUCCAGCAAUGCCGCGUGAGUGAUGAAGGCCUUAGGGUUGUAAAGCUCUUUUACCAGGGAUGAUAAUGACAGUACCUGGAGAAUAAGCUCCGGCUAACUCCGUGCCAGCAGCCGCGGUAAUACGGAGGGAGCUAGCGUUGUUCGGAAUUACUGGGCGUAAAGCGUGCGUAGGCGGUGAUUCAAGUCAGAGGUGAAAGCCUGGAGCUCAACUCCAGAACGGCCUUUGAAACUAGAUCGCUAGAAUUAUGGAGAGGUAAGUGGAAUUCCGAGUGUAGAGGUGAAAUUCGUAGAUAUUCGGAAGAACACCAGUGGCGAAGGCGACUUACUGGACAUAUAUUGACGCUGAGGUACGAAAGCGUGGGGAGCAAACAGGAUUAGAUACCCUGGUAGUCCACGCCGUAAACGAUGAUAACUAGCUGUUCGGGCUCUCAGAGCUUGAGUGGCGCAGCACGACAUAGUUAUUACGUCCGUCGGAGGUACGGUCGCGAGAAGUAAACUAACGAAGAAGUAGAGCGNGAGAGAGCGACGACGACGACGAGGGAGGAGG